UGCCAGCAGCCGCGGUAAUACUGAAGGUGCAAGCGUUAAUCGGAAUCACUGGGCGUAAAGCGCUCGUAGGUGGCUUUGUAAGUCAGAUGUGAAAUCCCCGAGCUCAACUUGGGAACUGCGUUUGAAACUGUAAGACUAGAGUGUGUCAGAGGGGGGUAGAAUUCCAUGUGUAGCAGUGAAAUGCGUAGAUAUAUGGAGGAAUACCAAUGGCGAAGGCAGCCCCCUGGGAUAACACUGACGCUCAUGCACGAAAGCGUGGGGAGCAAACGGGAUUAGAUA
rnacentral:rRNA from 1 species